rnacentral:lncRNA from 1 species
UAUUUAUUUAUUUAUUAUUGUUAAUUUGUGGGUGAUUCUAUUCCUCACCAACUGCUGCAGUUGGAACUGCAGCCAAUUUGGAUGUAGUUCCAACUGCAGCAUUUGGACCUUCUUAUGCAGUUGGAACUAUAGCAUUUGAGCUCAACUGCACUAAACCAAACAUAAGAAUUGAGGUUGCAUGCAUUUGCAACUGCGGUGCAGUUGCAAAUGCGUGCAACCAAACAGCCCCUAAUUGGAAGC